UAACACAUGCAAGUCGAGCGGUAGCACAGAGAGCUUGCUCUCGGGUGACGAGCGGCGGACGGGUGAGUAAUGUCUGGGAAACUGCCUGAUGGAGGGGGAUAACUACUGGAAACGGUAGCUAAUACCGCAUAACGUCGCAAGACCAAAGUGGGGGACCUUCGGGCCUCAUGCCAUCAGAUGUGCCCAGAUGGGAUUAGCUAGUAGGUGGGGUAACGGCUCACCUAGGCGACGAUCCCUAGCUGGUCUGAGAGGAUGACCAGCCACACUGGAACUGAGACACGGUCCAGACUCCUACGGGAGGCAGCAGUGGGGAAUAUUGCACAAUGGGCGCAAGCCUGAUGCAGCCAUGCCGCGUGUGUGAAGAAGGCCUUCGGGUUGUAAAGCACUUUCAGCGGGGAGGAAGGCGGUGAGGUUAAUAACCUCACCGAUUGACGUUACCCGCAGAAGAAGCACCGGCUAACUCCGUGCCAGCAGCCGCGGUAAUACGGAGGGUGCAAGCGUUAAUCGGAAUUACUGGGCGUAAAGCGCACGCAGGCGGUCUGUCAAGUCGGAUGUGAAAUCCCCGGGCUCAACCUGGGAACUGCAUUCGAAACUGGCAGGCUAGAGUCUUGUAGAGGGGGGUAGAAUUCCAGGUGUAGCGGUGAAAUGCGUAGAGAUCUGGAGGAAUACCGGUGGCGAAGGCGGCCCCCUGGACAAAGACUGACGCUCAGGUGCGAAAGCGUGGGGAGCAAACAGGAUUAGAUACCCUGGUAGUCCACGCUGUAAACGAUGUCGAUUUGGAGGUUGUGCCCUUGAGGCGUGGCUUCCGGAGCUAACGCGUUAAAUCGACCGCCUGGGGAGUACGGCCGCAAGGUUAAAACUCAAAUGAAUUGACGGGGGCCCGCACAAGCGGUGGAGCAUGUGGUUUAAUUCGAUGCAACGCGAAGAACCUUACCUGGUCUUGACAUCCACAGAACUUUCCAGAGAUGGAUUGGUGCCUUCGGGAACUGUGAGACAGGUGCUGCAUGGCUGUCGUCAGCUCGUGUUGUGAAAUGUUGGGUUAAGUCCCGCAACGAGCGCAACCCUUAUCCUUUGUUGCCAGCGGUCAGGCCGGGAACUCAAAGGAGACUGCCAGUGAUAAACUGGAGGAAGGUGGGGAUGACGUCAAGUCAUCAUGGCCCUUACGACCAGGGCUACACACGUGCUACAAUGGCAUAUACAAAGAGAAGCGACCUCGCGAGAGCAAGCGGACCUCAUAAAGUAUGUCGUAGUCCGGAUUGGAGUCUGCAACUCGACUCCAUGAAGUCGGAAUCGCUAGUAAUCGUAGAUCAGAAUGCUACGGUGAAUACGUUCCCGGGCCUUGUACACACCGCCCGUCACACCAUGGGAGUGGGUUGCAAAAGAAGUAGGUAGCUUAACCUUCGGGAGGGCGCUUACCAC
rnacentral:rRNA from 1 species